rnacentral:rRNA from 2 species
AAACGACUCUCGGCAACGGAUAUCCCGGCUCUCGCAUCGAUGAAGAACGUAGCGAAAUGCGAUACUUGGUGUGAAUUGCAGAAUCCCGUGAACCAUUGAGUCUUUGAACGCAAGUUGCGCCCCGAAGCCACUAGGCUGAGGGCACGUCUGCCUGGGUGUCACGC